UACGUAGGUGACAAGCGUUGUCCGGAUUUACUGGGCGUAAAGAGCGCGCAGGCGGUCGAUCAAGUCGAGUGUGAAAGCCCCCCGGCUCAACUGGGGGAGGGUCAUUCGAUACUGAUCGACUCGAAGGCAGGAGAGGGUAGUGGAAUUCCCCGGUGUAGUGGUGAAAUGCGUAGAUAUCGGGAGGAACACCAGUGGCGAAGGCGACUACCUGGCCUGUUCUUGACGCUGAGGCGCGAAAGCUAGGGGAGCAAACGGG
rnacentral:rRNA from 1 species